AAUCUGAUCUCAAAUCAGGUAGGACUACCCGCUGAACUUAAGCAUAUCAAUAAGCGGAGGAAAAGAAACUAACAAGGAUUCCCCUAGUAACGGCGAGUGAAGCGGGAACAGCUCAAAUUUAAAAUCUGGUGGUCUUUGGUCACCCGAGUUGUAGUCUAGAGAAGUGUUUUCUGUGCUGGACCAUGUACAAGUCUCUUGGAACAGAGCGUCAUAGAGGGUGAGAAUCCCGUCCUUGACAUGGACCCCCAGUGCUAUACGAUGCACUCUCAAAGAGUCGAGUUGUUUGGGAAUGCAGCUCAAAAUGGGAGGUAAAUUCCUUCUAAAGCUAAAUAUUGGCGAGAGACCGAUAGCGAACAAGUACCGUGAGGGAAAGAUGAAAAGCACUUUGGAAAGAGAGUUAAACAGUACGUGAAAUUGUUGAAAGGGAAACGCUUGAAGUCAGUCUUGUCUUCUGGGACUCAGCCUUGCCUUGUGCUUGGUGCAUUUCCUAGUAAACAGGCCAGUGUUGAUUUUGAUCGCUGGAAAAAGGCAGAGGGAAAGUGGCACUCUUCGGGGUGUGUUAUAGCCCUCGGUCAUAUGCAGCGGUUGGGAUUGAGAUUUAACAGCAUGCUUUUAGUGGUGCUUUUACUGGCAUAAUGGCUUUAAACGACCCGUCUUGAAACACGGACCAAGGAGUCUAACAUGUCUGCAAGUGUUUGGGUGGUAAACCCUUGCGCGUAAUGAAAGUGGUAGUUGGGAACCUUUGGGGUGCACCGACGCCCGGAGCUGACCUUUUGUGACGCAUCCGAGGUAGAGCAUAUAUGUUGGGACCCGAAAGAUGGUGAACUAUGCCUGCAUAGGGUGAAGCCAGAGGAAACUCUGGUGGAGGCUCGUAGCGAUUCUGACGUGCAAAUCGAUCGUCAAAUGUGGGUAUAGGGGCGAAAGACUAAUCGAACCAUCUAGUAGCUGGUUCCUGCC
rnacentral:rRNA from 1 species